rnacentral:rRNA from 1 species
CCUACGGGAGGCAGCAGUGAGGAAUAUUGGUCAAUGGGCGCAAGGCGGAACCAGCCAAGUAGCGUGAGGGAAGACGGCCCUACGGGUUGUAAACCUCUUUUAUGAGGGGAUAAAGGGGGGCACGUGUGGAUGUUUGCAGGUACGGCAUGAAUAAGGACCGGCUAACUCCGUGCCAGCAGCCGCGGUAAUACGGACGGUCCGUGCGUUAUCCGGAUUUAUUGGGUUUAAAGGGAGCGUAGGGCUGUGCUUAAGGGUGGCGUGAAAUUUUGGGGCUCAACCGUGAGAGGGCGGCGCCUACGGGCGGCCUUGAGUUCACUUGUGGCAGGCGGACUUCGUGGUGUAGCGG